GCUGGGCAUGGUGGUGCAUGCCCGUAAUCCCAGCUACUCGGGAGGCUGAGGCAGGAGUAUCACUUGAACCCAGGAGGCAGAGAUUGCAGUGAGCCGAGAUUGCGCCACUGCACUCCAGCCUGGGUGACAGAGUGAGACUCUGUCUCAA
rnacentral:SRP_RNA from 1 species